UUGUGACUUCACUAUGUAAAUCUUUCCAGUCAUUCUUAAUGGUUAUAUGGUCUUUAUCUCCCCAUGACACUCCUCCCACCAUGUUAUUCAGCCUUCAGAUGGAAGGGACAGCCUUGAAGAUGCAUAAAUAAGCUAGAAAAUGUUUCUUCAGUAGAAAUUUCAGUAGAAACUUGGUAAAAUGAUCUCUUUACAACUUCCAUGAUUUUAUUCUCCAGGACAAUAUGGCAGGAUGGUUUUGAUACUUAAACUUUUGGAGGAUUAAAUUUGUGAAAACAGUAAGUAGGCUUUUAUUUUUACAUUUCACAUAUGGAGGCCAUGCACUUUCACAAUCCUUAAACUGGAAAAGAUUCACAGAGUUAAUCUACCCGAAUCAUUUAGUAGCCAUUCCCCUUACUGAAAAACAAAAUGUGUCACCAGAAUUGUUACAACAUCCAAAUAGUGAAAAGAGUUUACAGAUCAAACGCCUAAUCUAACUCCUUUAUUUUACACACGAGGAAGCUGAGGACCAAAGCAGCUACAGGACUGACCUGCCCAAAACCACACAGUGAGUCUGCAGCCCGGCUUCGGACCAGAGUUUCUUCUGACAAGAGGCAAGCUCAUUGAUGGCCACACCCGCUCAUCCUGGAUAACAGUAUUCCCCAGUGGAAUUAACACGAUGCAUCUUCCUGGAGCAUCAUUUUUACUUUAAGAUUUAAAAGCAAGCAAGCAAAUUAAAUAGUCAUUUAAAUCAUAUUUAUAUUAAGCCUAACAUGGCCAUAUUGUAGAGCAAACCAUCGGGAUUUAAUAAACAAAACAGGAAACUUCAAAGAAAUGCUUUUUCUUGGAAAGAAGGCAGGGGAGCAAGAAAAGCGACUGCCUCAGCCUUUAUCAUUCUCCAGACCAGUGCCAAGGAGCCAAAGAGAAGAAAUGAGAAUAACCAAGGUUUAUGAAACCUAUAUAAAAACCUGUGAAACCUACACCGUCUGUGGAUGGAAUGUGUACUACUCUAGGAAAUGAAUAAAUACGUUAUCAAUAGCAGGGGAAUCAGUUGAACUUAACGUGACUCAAAGUUAGGAAGUGUGGGGUUAAAAAAAUGUAGGGUUCAUUGGAUUUUUUCUUUCCUUUUUAAAUUUAAAAACUUCAAGUUACCCUGGGAAAAAUGACCAAGAAAUAGUAGAAAAUAACCACUUUGCUUCAAAAGAUGUUUUGCAGCAAUUAGCCAAAGAAGAAGCCGUAUCCUCUGCAAGACAUCCUACUCUGUUGUGUGCAGUAGGGAUGGCUGUUCCUUGACCCCUCUCACUCACCUACCUCUGGCGCUUUGUUCAGGGGGCAGAGGCAGAGCGAGACCCUUUUGGUAAAUUUAUCCUGUUGGAAUAGCAAAUGGAGAAUGCUGUAAUGCAUUCACCCUUUCCUCUAUCCAUCCAUCAAUCAUUGUAUUAAUCAAUCAAUUGAAAAGCCUGUUUAAGCAUCUCUCUACAGCCUAUUAUCCACACUGAGUCAAAGAAACAUGGCUUCUAUGCUUUGCAGUUUGUAGUUUAAGAGAAAACAACAAUGGAGGUAGGCACGGAGGAUAAAUAGACAACAGGUAAAACACUGAACAAGUAUGUGAAAUGAAAAGAAUGAUAAUAUUAACAUUGUCAAUCAAUUAACAGGUAGUUAUGCUGUGGUAAUUACAUGCUCAGCACUGGGUUUGGGUGUUCUCCAAGUUAAAUAGCUAAAAAUCGGAAGAAUUUUUUUUUUUAUUAAUUACAGUUUUAAGUUGAGAAACUAAAGAAGUUUACUUUCCACUCUGCAUAAAGCCUUGUGGAGGCAAUAGGAUGGGAAUGAAAGGAGGUUGUGUGUUCCCACUUUGGUACUUGUUGAAAAGAAUAAAAUAGCUAUGAUGGGAGAGUGAACAAGUGAUGGUUGAGACACUUGGAUAACCUUAAAAUCACAAAAGUGCAGAGUUGGAAUGGGCCUGAAAAAUCAUUUUUUCAAUGCUUCCCACGGUACCUAAAAAUUGAGGCAAAUUCAGAGGUUUGUUUUGUGAAUAAGAUGUUGGUCAAGUAGGCAUGAGAGGAGCCUGCUAAGGGACACAGAAGGAG
rnacentral:lncRNA from 1 species